UGAUCUAUCAUAAGAGGUCAGGUUGUC
rnacentral:piRNA from 1 species